GGCUUGGUGGUCUAGUGGUAUGAUUCUCGCUUAGGGUGCGAGGAGGUCCCGGGUUCAAUUCCCCGGCCAAGCCC
rnacentral:tRNA from 1 species